UACGAAGGGUGCAAGCGUUACUCGGAAUUACUGGGCGUAAAGCGUGCGUAGGUGGUUUGUUAAGUCUGUUGUGAAAGCCCCGGGCUCAACCUGGGAAUGGCAGUGGAUACUGGCAAGCUAGAGUGCGGUAGAGGGUAGUGGAAUUCCCGGUGUAGCGGUGAAAUGCGUAGAGAUCGGGAGGAACACCAGUGGCGAAGGCGGCUACCUGGACCAGCACUGACACUGAGGCACGAAAGCGUGGGGAGCAAACAGG
rnacentral:rRNA from 1 species